rnacentral:rRNA from 1 species
CCCUUAGAUGUUCUGGGCUGCACGCGCGCUACACUGAAGCGUUCAACGAGUAUUCACCUUGCCCGGGAGGGUUGGGUAAUCUUUUGAAAACGCUUCGUGAUGGGGAUAGAUUAUUGCAAUUAUUAAUCUUCAACGAGGAAUUCCUAGUAAGCGCGAGUCAUCAGCUCGUGCUGAUUACGUCCCUGCCCUUUGUACACACCGCCCGUCGCUACGACCGACUGUUUCUGUCAAUGAAGCUGUAGGAUUCGGCCCUGGCCGGGGCGCAAGCCCUGGCUACGUGGUUGGAGAUCAUAGUUUAGUUGAUACGAAAUACAGGACGUAAAAGUCGUAACA